GGGCCGAGCUGGAUUGAACCAGCGUAGACAUAUCGUCAACGAAUUUACAGUCCGUCCCCAUUAACCGCUCGGGCAUCGACCCG
rnacentral:tRNA from 1 species